ensembl:ncRNA T06H11.9 ncRNA
UAUUUGGAAAAUCUUCCAAAUAGAAAUUCUGUGAAUACUCCAAACCACAUAUAUUGGUUACUUCCUGAAAUAUCAUUUUACCACAACAUCAUCCUAUUCUUCAUUCUUAUUCUCCCGUCCGGUCACGCCGGU